GCAGCAACGCCGCGUGCGGGAUGACGGCCUUCGGGUUGUAAACCGCUUUCAGCAGGGACGAAGGGUCACCUUGACGGUACCUGCAGAAGAAGCACCGGCUAACUACGUGCCAGCAGCCGCGGUGAUACGUAGGGUGCGAGCGUUGUCCGGAAUUAUUGGGCGUAAAGAGCUUGUAGGCGGUCUGUUGCGUCGGAAGUGAAAACUCAGGGCUUAACCCUGAGCCUGCUUUCGAUACGGGCAGACUUGAGGGAUGUAGGGGAGAACGGAAUUCCUGGUGGAGCGGUGGAAUGCGCAGAUAUCAGGAGGAACACCAGUGGCGAAGGCGGUUCUCUGGACAUUUCCUGACGCUGAGAAGCGAAAGCGUGGGGAGCAAACAGGCUUAGAUACCCUGGUAGUCCACGCCGUAAACGGUGGGCACUAGGUGUGGGUUCCAUUCCACGGAAUCCGUGCCGAAGCUAACGCAUUAAGUGCCCCGCCUGGGGAGUACGGCCGCAAGGCUAAAACUCAAAGGAAUUGACGGGGGCCCGCACAAGCGGCGGAGCAUGCGGAUUAAUUCGAUGCAACGCGAAGAACCUUACCUGGGUUUGACAUAUGCCGGAAACACCUAGAGAUAGGUGCCCCGCAAGG
rnacentral:rRNA from 1 species